AGAGUUUGAUCCUGGCUCAGAACGAACGCUGGCGGCAGGCCUAACACAUGCAAGUCGAGCGAGGGGUAACCCUAGCGGCGGACGGGUGAGUAACGCGUGGGAACGUGCCCUUUGCUACGGAAUAGCCCUGGGAAACUGGGAGUAAUACCGUAUGAGCCCUUUGGGGGAAAGAUUUAUCGGCAAAGGAUCGGCCCGCGUUGGAUUAGGUAGUUGGUGGGGUAAUGGCCUACCAAGCCGACGAUCCAUAGCUGGUUUGAGAGGAUGAUCAGCCACACUGGGACUGAGACACGGCCCAGACUCCUACGGGAGGCAGCAGUGGGGAAUCUUAGACAAUGGGCGCAAGCCUGAUCUAGCCAUGCCGCGUGAGCGAUGAAGGCCUUAGGGUUGUGAAGCUCUUUCAGGGGGGAAGAUAAUGACUGUACCCCCAGAAGAAGCCCCGGCUAACUCCGUGCCAGCAGCCGCGGUAAUACGGAGGGGGCUAGCGUUGUUCGGAAUUACUGGGCGUAAAGCGCACGUAGGCGGACUGGAAAGUCAGGGGUGAAAUCCCGGGG
rnacentral:rRNA from 1 species